GGAGCCAGAGCUACCAAAAGCACAUCACCCUGAAGAUUUGCAGAGCCAUCUCCGUGAGCGGAGGGCCGGAGGGUCGGAGAGAUGCUGGUGUUGGACUUGGGCGUAUGGUUCAUCCCACUGACGCUCGUCCUCGUCCCGUGCCGCCGGAUCGUGCUUCUCCUGUCCAGGCUCGAGGAGCUCCGCCGGAUCAUGGCGCGGCCGAGGCUCGCCACCGCGGACAUCUGGACCCGCUUCGCCACCCUCAACUCCAUGGCUUUCAUGGUGUGAUGGUACACACGCCGCCGCCGCUCCAUCCAUAGCUGUUUCCUCAUUGGUUGGGUGUGCUUUGCUGUCCUGGUUUUUGGCUUAUCACAAUAAGCCCCAGCUUCUGGGAAUGGGAUGU
rnacentral:lncRNA from 1 species